rnacentral:rRNA from 1 species
AAACCAUUUUUCCCCCUAAGUCUAGGUGAUAAAAAAGGAAACCCGGAGCAAUAGAAAAAGUACCGCAAGGGAAAGCUGAAAGAGAGAUGAAACAGACCAGUAAAGCCUAGCGAAGCAGAGAUUAAAGCUCGUACCUUUUGCAUCAUGAUUUAGCCAGAACCUUCAAGCAAAGAGAACUAAAAGUUUGAAACCCCGAAACUGAGUGAGCUACUCCAAGGCAGCCUAGAUUGUAGGGCAAACCCGUCUCUGUGGCAAAAGAGUGGGAAGAACUUUGAGUAGGGGUGACAGACCUACCGAACUCAGUGAUAGCUGGUUGCUCAUGAAUUGGAUAGAAGUUCAGCCCCAAAGCUUUCCUCAGUCACACUCACAGGACACUUCUGUACCCAUUUUGGAUGCAAAUGAAAUCUUGGACGGUUAGUCAAAGGGGGUACAGCCCCUUUGAGACAAGACACAACUUUUUCAGAAGGAUAAAGAUCAUACUUCAACAAGGAUUAAUGUUCUAGUGGGCCUAAAAGCAGCCACCUUAAAUAAUAGCGUUAAAGCUUAAACAUAAGCUCCUCCCCAGAUACCGAUAACACAUCUUAACCCCCUGAUACGUAAUGAGCCGCCCCAUGCUAUACAUGGGAAUGACCAUGCUAAUAUGAGUAAUAAGAGAGCAACUACGGCCCUCUCCUUGCACACGUGUAAAUCGGACCGGACCUACCACCGAACAUUAACGGCCCCAAUCAAAGAGGGCAUUGGAAAAUACUACCAUCAACCAGAAGAACCCCCAACUAAAUCCCGUUACCCCCACACUGGUGUGCACUUAAGGAAAGACCCAAGGGGGAAGAAGGAACUCGGCAAACAUAACUAGAAGCCUCGCCUGUUUACCAAAAACAUCGCCUCUUGCAAAACACAAUAUAAGAGGUCCCGCCUGCCCAGUGACAAUUUGUUUAACGGCCGCGGUAUUUUGACCGUGCUAAGGUAGCGUAAUCACUUGUCUUUUAAAUGAAGACCCGUAUGAAUGGCAAAACGAGGGCUUAACUGUCUCCUUCCCCAAGUCAAUGAAAUUGAUCUCCCCGUGCAGAAGCGGGGAUUACACCAUAAGACGAGAAGACCCUAUGGAGCUUUAGACAAAUGAUUGAACCGCAUUCCCUAAACCCCUACCACGGGAUUAAAUUUCGUGGAUCAUCUUUCAAUGUCUUCGGUUGGGGCGACCAUGGGGAAGACAAAACCCCCACGUGGAAAGGGGAUAUAAACGCACGACCACAACCCCUCAAGGCAGGGCGACAGCCCUACCUAACAGAAAUUCUGACCAAUCUGAUCCGGCCAAUCCGAUCAACGAACCAAGUUACCCUAGGGAUAACAGCGCAAU